AGAGUUUGAUCCUGGCUCAGGAUGAACGCUAGCGGCAGGCCUAAUACAUGCAAGUCGAACGGCAGCGGGUGUAGCAAUACAUGCCGGCGAGUGGCGCACGGGUGCGUAACGCGUAUGCAANCCUACCCAUAACUGGGGGAUAGCCCGGAGAAAUUCGGAUUAAUACCCCAUAAUAUAUCGGAUUGGCAUCUUUCUGAUAUUAAAGCUCAGGCGGUUAUGGAUGGGCAUGCGUGACAUUAGUUUGUUGGUGAGGUAACGGCUCACCAAGACUACGAUGUCUAGGGGUUCUGAGAGGAUGAUCCCCCACACUGGUACUGAGACACGGACCAGACUCCUACGGGAGGCAGCAGUAAGGAAUAUUGGGCAAUGGAGGCAACUCUGACCCAGCCAUGCCGCGUGAAGGAUGAAGGCCCUAUGGGUUGUAAACUUCUUUUGUAUGGGAAUAAACGCGGUUACGUGUAACCGUUUGAAUGUACCAUAAGAAUAAGCACCGGCUAACUCCGUGCCAGCAGCCGCGGUAAUACGGAGGGUGCAAGCGUUAUCCGGAUUUAUUGNGUUUAAAGGGAGCGUAGGCGGGAUUGUAAGUCAGUGGUGAAAGCCCGUAG
rnacentral:rRNA from 1 species